rnacentral:rRNA from 1 species
GACGAACGCUGGCGGCGUGCUUAACACAUGCAAGUCGAGCGGUAAGGCCCUUUCGGGGGGUACACGAGCGGCGAACGGGUGAGUAACACGUGGGUGACCUGCCUUUAGCUCUGGGAUAAGCCUGGGAAACCGGGUCUAAUACCGGAUAUGACUCCGCGGCGCAUGUUGUGGGGUGGAAAGCCUUGUGCGGCUGGAGAUGGGCCCGCGGCCUAUCAGCUUGUUGGUGGGGUGAUGGCCUACCAAGGCGACGACGGGUAGCCGGCCUGAGAGGGCGACCGGCCACACUGGGACUGAGACACGGCCCAGACUCCUACGGGAGGCAGCAGUGGGGGAAUCUUGCGCAAUGGGCGAAAGCCUGACGCAGCGACGCCGCGUGAGGGAUGACGGCCU